AGCGAACGCUGGCGGCAUGCCUAACACAUGCAAGUCGCACGGGGGGGCUUCGGCCUCCCAGUGGCGGACGGGUGAGGAACGCGUAGGGACCUGUCGAGGGGUGGGGGAUGACCGCGGGAAACUGCGGCUAAUACCGCAUGACGCCGCGGCGUGACAGCCGGGGCCAAAGGCGAAAGCCGCCCGCCGAGGGGCCUGCGUCCGAUUAGCUGGUUGGCGGGGUAGCGGCCCACCAAGGCGUCGAUCGGUAGCUGGUCUGAGAGGGUGAUCAGCCACACCGGGACUGAGACACGGCCCGGACUCCUACGGGAGGCAGCAGUGGGGAAUAUUGGACAAUGGGCGCAAGCCUGAUCCAGCAAUGCCGCGUGGGUGAAGAAGGUCUUCGGAUUGUAAAGCCCUUUCGGCGGGGACGAUGGUGACGGUACCCGCAGAAGAAGCCCCGGCUAACUUCGUG
rnacentral:rRNA from 1 species